rnacentral:lncRNA from 1 species
GGCCUCAAAAGGAUGACUGGUCCAGACUGCACGGGACAGCUCACCUGCCCCCCAGCUCCCGGGUGGGCUUGGCCAACAGGAAGAGCUAUAGGCUUUGACCCAGAAUUCCACUGUGGCAUAAUUUUCUUUCUUGAUGACCAUGCUUGUAGAUGUGAAAAUCCUACAGCGGUACCUUCAGUACAUAGUUUUAUACAAUUUGCAAGAGGCGAGCUGGUUGUUACUCAAAACAAGGCGUCUGCGCCCCUGUUCCGGGGAGAAGUUAACAAUUCAAGGUCGCGAGGUGGGAACUGCGGCAUCGCAUCUCCUGCCCGUGGACGCUGCUUCCCAGCCCGCCCGCGUGGGAAGAGACCGCGAAUAAAGCGCCGCCCGCCCGGACCCCGCGUCAACAUCCAUCUUGAAGACGGCGGACGACGGGUACAGCUUUAGUCCGAGUCCACGUUGAAGAAAAAUGGACGGGCAGCCUCAGCCGUGGCGCUGUCCGGGACGCGGCUGAACGCUUCGCCCGGGGCAGCGAGAGCCGCGGCCGGCCCAGCGCCGGCACACAAAGCGCCGGCGAGCACGUCCACGCUCCUGUCAGGCCCGCGGCGCGGGGACGCGGGCGGCGCUCGCGGGGAGGACAGGUGACUCGCGGCGGGAAGCUGCUCCGCCGCGAGCUCGGGAUCCUUCCGCGCGCCGGCCGGACUUCUCCGCGCCAAGUAGUGCGCCGUCCGGGCCCUAGGGUCGACUGCGAGACCCUGCUGCGCGAACGGG